UGUAGUGGUCGCACGAGAAGCGUGUGUUUGUUUCUGUGUGUAUGCGUGUGCAGGCGCAGCGUGUGUGUGUUUGUGUUUGUGUGUGCGUGAAAGAGAGGUGGUGCAAGGGCUGGAGAUGAGAAGCCUCUGUUCCUGGAGAUGGCCAAGCCUCGGUCCCCCCUCACAGCCCUCAUCCUCCAGCUCAGGAAGCCAUGAGGAACAACCGCUAAACACCAGCCUCCGUCUGCUACCAGGCCAACCCAACGACAUGCUAACUACUACUGAGGCUCUAAGCUACUAUUAAAGAUGGAGGUGAACAGAGAUGAGUUCAUAGAAUCACUCUUUGUUGAAACGGCGUUGGUUGGACACAAGAGGGCGCCAUUGAGCUGGUAUAGAGACAGGCACACAUGCUGCUUUCACUGGAGUCUCCGGAGACUCUUCUGAAAACCUCAGCCCUACAUUUCCACUGACUUUCUGUCACUCAAGAGACACAGCUGCACAUCAGCUAAAACUGGACAUCAUUUGAAUAGCUACAGUUCACUGCUCAGUGCUUACAGAAAACAUUGAAUGAAACACAUCUUUUAGUGAUGUCGGUUUGGUCUUUUACUCAUAGACAGACAUUAUGAAUAUGUUACUGUUUCCACCACUCACUGCUAGGGUUCCUAUGCCUUGGUGGGAGAUACUGAAUGUCUUUUGAGAUGUACUUUUACAUGUUUCUAAGUUGGUAUCUGCAGAACCCUGGAUGAAGUGACAUAAAGUCAGUCUGACACACAUGGGUCAUUUCAGCAGCAGUUGCUCUAUGACUGACACUGGUCCAAUGGAUACAGUGAACACACUUUCCAACAACAUCCCCACAACCAACCCUUUGCUCAUUCAGAGAUACACACCAUAGAUUUAAGCCUUCAUUCACAAUGGUGAUGAAACUUGUGUAAUAAAGAUUACAUAUGUUUGAUAUA